UACGGAGGGUGCGAGCGUUGUCCGGAAUCAUUGGGCGUAAAGGGCGCGUAGGUGGCGGGACAAGCGUGCGGUGAAAGCUCGGGGCUCAACCCCGAGUCGGCCGUGCGAACUGUUUUGCUUGAGCACUGUAGAGGCAGGCGGAAUUCCGGGUGUAGCGGUGGAAUGCGUAGAGAUCCGGAGGAACACCAAAGGCGAAGGCAGUGUCCUGGGGAGUACCGUGACGCUCAGGUGCGAAAGCCAGGGGAGCCGGAACGGGAUUAAGAAACCCCGAGUAACGUC
rnacentral:rRNA from 1 species